GACGAACGCUGGCGGCGUGCUUAACACAUGCAAGUCGAACGGAAAGGCCCUGCUUUUGUGGGGUGCUCGAGUGGCGAACGGGUGAGUAACACGUGAGUAACCUGCCCUUGACUUUGGGAUAACUUCAGGGAACUGGGGCUAAUACCGGAUAGGAGCUCCUGCUGCAUGGUGGGGGUUGGAAAGUUUCGGCGGUUGGGGAUGGACUCGCGGCUUAUCAGCUUGUUGGUGGGGUAGUGGCUUACCAAGGCUUUGACGGGUAGCCGGCCUGAGAGGGUGACCGGCCACAUCGGGACUGAGAUACGGCCCAGACUCCUACGGGAGGCAGCAGUGGGGAAUAUUGCACAAUGGGCGGAAGCCUGAUGCAGCAACGCCGCGUGCGGGAUGACGGCCUUCGGGUUGUAAACCGCUUUCGCCUGUGACGAAGCGUGAGUGACGGUAAUGGGUAAAGAAGCACCGGCUAACUACGUG
rnacentral:rRNA from 1 species